UGCCCCCGGCAAUGGGCAGAGACACCUUGGUGGUGGUGGUGUUCUAUCAGCCAGGGGCAGAGCAGAUGGCAGUCCUUUGUUCAUCCUAGCUUGAUGCCUGGCUUGGUGGACAAAGCUGUUACAUGCCUAGGACACGUUA